rnacentral:rRNA from 1 species
AACGAACGCUGGCGGCGUGGAUUAGGCAUGCAAGUCGAACGAGAAAGCACCCUUCGGGGUGCAAGUACAGCGGCGGACUGGUGAGUAACGCGUGGGAAACCUGCCUUCGAGUGGGGGAUAACAGUUCUAACGGACUGCUAAUACCGCAUAACGCUGUUGUUCGCAUGUUCAACAGUUAAAGAUGGCCUCUACAUGUAAGCUGUCGCUUGAUGAUGGUCCCGCGCCUAUUAGCUAGUUGGUGAGGUAACGGCUCACCAAGGCAACAAUGGGGUAGCCGGUCUGAGGAGGGUGGUCGGCCACACUGGGACUGAGAUACGGCCCAGACUCCUACGGGGAGGCAGCAGUCGAGAGGCUUCGGC